rnacentral:rRNA from 1 species
GAUGAACGCUGGCGGCGUGCCUAAUACAUGCAAGUCGAGCGAACGGACGAGAAGCUUGCUUCUCUGAUGUUAGCGGCGGACGGGUGAGUAACACGUGGAUAACCUACCUAUAAGACUGGGAUAACUUCGGGAAACCGGAGCUAAUACCGGAUGAUAUUUUGAACCGCAUGGUUCAAAAGUGAAAGACGGUCUUGCUGUCACUUAUAGAUGGAUCCGCGCUGCAUUAGCUAGUUGGUAAGGUAACGGCUUACCAAGGCAACGAUGCAUAGCCGACCUGAGAGGGUGAUCGGCCACACUGGAACUGAGACACGGUCCAGACUCCUACGGGAGGCAGCAGUAGGGAAUCUUCCGCAAUGGGCGAAAGCCUGACGGAGCAACGCCGCGUGAGUGAUGAAGGUCUUCGGAUCGUAAAACUCUGUUAUUAGGGAAGAACAUAUGUGUAAGUAACUGUGCACAUCUUGACGGUACCUAAUCAGAAAGCCACGGCUAAUUACGUG